AGAGGCGCUGAAGAGAACAGACACAGAGCUACAGAAAGCAUGCUUGGUGGAGGCGGUGCGUAUCCUGGACGGUGUGUGUGUGGGGGAUGCAGGGUGUGUGUAUCGUGCGUUCCCGUGUGUUAAGUCACUGUUCGGCCGUCUGAACUCUGACCUGUCCUGCAGCAGAGUCCUCCUGCCCAUUGCUCAGUUCUACCUGAACCACGGGGAGACUGCAGCGGUGGACAGUGAGUGUGUGUGGAGGUGUGUGUUUGGUGUUCUCCCAGCAGAGUGUUUCAACGACCCCUAUCUGGCCCACGAGACGCUGUCCUUCAUCAGAGCCAAUCAGCUGCAGCUCCACUCCUCUGUACCACUGUACACGCACUACUUCCCUAGCCUGCUCAAGUUCCUAGCGUGGGACAGUCCAGGCCUGGUAUCUGACUAUGUGAUGUGUUGUAGUUCCUAGCCGUGGGACAGUCCAGGCCUGGUAUCUGAAAAUGUGUUGUAGUUCCUAGUGUGGGACAGUCCAGGCCUGGUAUCUGACGAUGUGUUGUAGUUCCUAGCGUUGGACAGUCCAGGCCUGGUAUCUGAAUAUGUGAUAUGUUGUAGUUCCUAGCGUGGGACAGUCCAGGCCUGGUAUCUGACUAUUUGAUGUGUUGUAGUUCCUAGCGCGGGACAGUCCAGGCCUGGUAUCUGACUAUAUGAUGUGUUGUCGUUCCUAGCGUG